GAUGAACGCUGGCGGCGUGCCUAAUACAUGCAAGUCGAGCGAACGGACGAGAAGCUUGCUUCUCUGAUGUUAGCGGCGGACGGGUGAGUAACACGUGGAUAACCUACCUAUAAGACUGGGAUAACUUCGGGAAACCGGAGCUAAUACCGGAUAAUAUUUUGAACCGCAUGGUUCAAAAGUGAAAGACGGUCUUGCUGUCACUUAUAGAUGGAUCCGCGCUGCAUUAGCUAGUUGGUAAGGUAACGGCUUACCAAGGCAACGAUGCAUAGCCGACCUGAGAGGGUGAUCGGCCACACUGGAACUGAGACACGGUCCAGACUCCUACGGGAGGCAGCAGUAGGGAAUCUUCCGCAAUGGGCGAAAGCCUGACGGAGCAACGCCGCGUGAGUGAUGAAGGUCUUCGGAUCGUAAAACUCUGUUAUUAGGGAAGAAYAUAUGUGUAAGUAACUGUGCACAUCUUGACGGUACCUAAUCAGAAAGCCACGGCUAACUACGUGCCAGCAGCCGCGGUAAUACGUAGGUGGCAAGCGUUAUCCGGAAUUAUUGGGCGUAAAGCGCGCGUAGGCGGUUUUUUAAGUCUGAUGUGAAAGCCCACGGCUCAACCGUGGAGGGUCAUUGGAAACUGGAAAACUUGAGUGCAGAAGAGGAAAGUGGAAUUCCAUGUGUAGCGGUGAAAUGCGCAGAGAUAUGGAGGAACACCAGUGGCGAAGGCGRCUUUCUGGUCUGUAACUGACGCUGAUGUGCGAAAGCGUGGGGAUCAAACAGGAUUAGAUACCCUGGUAGUCCACGCCGUAAACGAUGAGUGCUAAGUGUUAGGGGGUUUCCGCCCCUUAGUGCUGCAGCUAACGCAUUAAGCACUCCGCCUGGGGAGUACGACCGCAAGGUUGAAACUCAAAGGAAUUGACGGGGACCCGCACAAGCGGUGGAGCAUGUGGUUUAAUUCGAAGCAACGCGAAGAACCUUACCAAAUCUUGACAUCCUUUGACAACUCUAGAGAUAGAGCYUUCCCCUUCGGGGGACAAAGUGACAGGUGGUGCAUGGUUGUCGUCAGCUCGUGUCGUGAGAUGUUGGGUUAAGUCCCGCAACGAGCGCAACCCUUAAGCUUAGUUGCCAUCAUUAAGUUGGGCACUCUAAGUUGACUGCCGGUGACAAACCGGAGGAAGGUGGGGAUGACGUCAAAUCAUCAUGCCCCUUAUGAUUUGGGCUACACACGUGCUACAAUGGACAAUACAAAGGGCAGYGAAACCGYGAGGUCAAGCAAAUCCCAUAAAGUUGUUCUCAGUUCGGAUUGUAGUCUGCAACUCGACUACAUGAAGCUGGAAUCGCUAGUAAUCGUAGAUCAGCAUGCUACGGUGAAUACGUUCCCGGG
rnacentral:rRNA from 1 species